AAAAAUGGGAGUAAAAUAUUUAUUUAUAUAAGCCCUCACAUUAAGUAUUCGUACACAGCUACAUAUAUACAUUGAGGUUUCAAAGUAUAGUCAUUGUCAAUUUUUUUAAAUUUCUAAUUUCAAAAUUGUUUUCUUCCCAUUUUAUUCGUGUUCUUAUAGGUUGGAAAAGAGGAAAAAAGAGAAAUAUUGGUAGAAAAAGAGGAAAUUCCUUAAUGACUUCAACUUCAAAACUUAGAUCUGCAACAUUUUCUGCUCAAAAAGUGUGGCUUUUGAGAACCCAACAUCACCUCCAUCCCACAAUGAAGCAUUAGAGUCAGACUUGAAGGAGAGUAUUUAUAUCUGACAUCAGUAUCUAGAAUACAACUGUCACAAGAGAAUUAAAAAGUAUUAUACAAAGUAUGAUGGAGUCUCACAUGGUGACUGUGAACAUGUGGUAAUAGGGGACUAAUUGAGGAACUCUAAAAAACUGCAUAGAAGAUGGAAUCAAAGAGUUUUAUGCCAAGAGCAGAAGAUGGGCUGAUCAGAUGGCAAGGUUGAAGACUAACAGAGAGACAACCCUACUGGUAACUUGAAGUGUCAGGAAAAAUAAAGUAAGUCUUCUAAUAUGUUGAAUUAAAAUC
rnacentral:lncRNA from 1 species